UACGGAGGGUGCAAGCGUUAAUCGGAAUCACUGGGCGUAAAGCGCGCGUAGGCGGUUCAGUAAGUCAGGUGUGAAAGCCCCGGGCUCAACCUGGGAAUUGCUCUUGAUACUGCUGGGCUAGAGUGUGGUAGAGGGAGGUGGAAUUCCGCAUGUAGCGGUGAAAUGCGUAGAUAUGCGGAGGAACAUCAGUGGCGAAGGCGGCCUCCUGGACCAACACUGACGCUGAGGUGCGAAAGCGUGGGGAGCAAACAGG
rnacentral:misc_RNA from 1 species